AUAUUGCACAAUGGGGGGAACCCUGAUGCAGCGACGCCGCUUGGGCGAUGGAGUGCUUCGGCAUGUAAAGCCUUAUCAGCAGGGAAGACAAUGACGGUACUUGAUUAAGAAGCCCCGGCUAACUACUUGCCAGCAGCCGCGGUAAUACGUAGGGGGCAAGCGUUAUCCGGAUUUACUGGGUGUAAAGGGAGCGUAGACGGCAGCGCAAGUCUGGAGUGAAAUGCCGGGGCCCAACCCCGGAACUGCUUUGGAAACUGUGCAGCUCGAGUGCAGGAGAGGUAAGCGGAAUUCCUAGUGUAGCGGUGAAAUGCGUAGAUAUUAGGAGGAACACCAGUGGCGAAGGCGGCUUACUGGACUGUAACUGACGUUGAGGCUCGAAAGCGUGGAGAGCA
rnacentral:rRNA from 1 species